rnacentral:rRNA from 1 species
GCGAGGUGCUGCAUGGUUGUCGUCAGCUCGUGCCGUGAGGUGUCGGGUUAAGUCCCAUAACGAGCGCAACCCCUACUGCUAGUUGCCAGCGGGUCAUGCCGGGGACUCUAGCGGAACUGCCAGCGUAAGCUGCGAGGAAGGUGGGGAUGACGUCAAAUCAGCACGGCCCUUACGUCCAGGGCUACACACGUGUUACAAUGGCCAGUACAGAGGGCAGCCACCCCGCGAGGGGGCGCUAAUCCUAAAAGCUGGUCCCAGUUCGGAUCGGAGUCUGCAACCCGACUCCGUGAAGCUGGAUUCGCUAGUAAUCGCGCAUCAGCCACGGCGCGGUGAAUACGUUCCCGGGCCUU